rnacentral:rRNA from 1 species
CACGGAGGGUGCAAGCGUUAGUCGGAUCUACUGGGCGUAAAGGGUGCGUAGGCGGGUGUGCAAGACAGACGUGAAAUUCCGAAGCUCAACUUCGGAGCUGCAUCUGAAACUGCACAUCUAGCGGAAUGGCGGAGAAAACGGAAUUCCACGUGUAGCGGUGAAAUGCGUAGAUAUGUGGAAGAACACCUGUGGCGAAAGCGGUUUUCUAGCCUACUCCGGACGCUGAGGCACGAAAGCAAGGGGAUCAAACAGG